ACGUGUUUAUAGUAAUAGGUGCUUGUAGUAUUGUCAGUGAUAACACCAGUUAUUGCAGCAGUCUAGUCCAUGUCUGUAAUGGGUUAACGUGUUUAUAGUAAUAGGUGCUUGUAGUAUUGUCAGUGAUAACACCAGUUAUUGCAGCAGUCUAGUCCAUGUCUGUAAUGGGCUAACGUGUUUAUAGUAAUAGGUGCUUGUAGUAUUGUCAGUGAUAACACCAGUUAUUGCAGCAGUCUAGUCCAUGUCUGUAAUGGGUUAACGUGUUUAUCUUCUAAUAGGUGCUUGUAGUAUUGUCAGUGAUAACAACACCAGUUAUUGCAGCAGUCUAGUCCAUGUCUGUAAUGGGUUAACGUGUUUAUCUUCUAAUAGGUGCUUGUAGUAUUGUCAGUGAUAACACCAGUUAUUGCAGCAGUCUAGAGUCCAUGUCUGUAAUGGGUUAACGUGUUUAUCUUCUAAUAGGUGCUUGUAGUAUUGUCAGUGAUAACACCAGUUAUUGCAGCAGUCUAGUCCAUGUCUGUAAUGGGUUAACGUGUUUAUCUUCUAAUAGGUGCUUGUAGUAUUGUCAGUGAUAACACCAGUUAUUGCAGCAGUCUAGAGUCCAUGUCUGUAAUGGGUUAACGUGUUUAUCUUCUAAUAGGUGCUUGUAGUAUUGUCAGUGAUAACACCAGUUAUUGCAGCAGUCUAGUCCAUGUCUCUAAUGGGUUAACGUGUUUAUCUUCUAAUAGGUGCUUGUAGUAUUGUCAGUGAUAACACCGGGUAUCGCAACAGUCUAGUUUUGAUGGUCAAAAGAGUGAGUAAAGAAAUAGGUGUGGUUGGGAUCUAUUGGCUAUGGUUCAUCUGACAAAUAUGUUGAACUUGAAACCAGCUCAAGAAUCUGAAAAAAACAUUUGGUACAACCAAAGCCUGCUAGCACAAAUGGUUGUGGGUACAACAGAACAAUG